rnacentral:rRNA from 1 species
UUCUCCCUUCUGAUGAACCAUGAUGUCAUUAAUUUGGUGUUGUGGGGAGUCAGGACUGUUACUUUGAAAAAAUUAAAGUGUUUAAAGCAGGCAAACGCUUGAAUACAUUAGCAUGGAAUAAUGAAAUAGGACGUUCGAACCUAUUUUGUUGGUUUCUAGGUACAACGUAAUGAUUAAUAGGGAUAGUUGGGGGCAUUAGUAUUCAAUUGUCAAAGGUGAAAUUCUUGGAUUUAUUGAACACUAACUACGGCGAAAGCAUUUGCCAAGGAUGUUUUCAUUAAUCAAGAACGAAAGUUAGGGGAUCAAACACGAUCAGAUACCGUCGUAGUCUUAACCAUACACUAUGCCGACAAGGGAUCGGAUGA